rnacentral:lncRNA from 1 species
GUGAAAUCUGGAUACCAUAAUUGGGCACUAAAAUGUCCAGUAGAGCAGGAUUGAUUUUCAUUAUAGCUGAAUAUUUUUGGUGCAUGUUUUUAUUAUUAUUACUUUCUUUCCUUUUGCACAGUGAGACCAUAAACACCAGUGAUGCUUGGGAUAGAUGGGAAUAUGCCAGUCUCUAGCAGCAGUUUGCAUCUCUGUGAGUUGGGAAAAGAAAGGAAAUUCAGAAGCAAUCCUGGUCGGCAGGAUUGGAUUGCUGCCUCCGUGGCACUGCAGCAAGGGCGGGCAUGGUCGGAGCCGUGGCGGUUCUGCUUCUUGUUAACUUGGAAUAAUGACAGAUGGCUCUGUCUCAUCCAGAGGUUCGCAUAUGAAGCCAUUCAGGGAAACCGCAGUGGAAACCUAAUGCCAAAAUCAGCCCUCAAAAUCGAAUUAACCUUUAGGAAGAUCUUACAAGUGACGCUGCGAGCAUUGCUUUCUCCUGAAGAGAAAGCAGCUGGAGGAAGUAACAUCUGA